rnacentral:rRNA from 1 species
AUUGAACGCUGGCGGCAGGCCUAACACAUGCAAGUCGAGCGAGCGGCGGACGGGUGAGUAAUGCAUAGGAAUCUGCCUGGUAGUGGGGGAUAACUACUGGAAACGGUGGCUAAUACCGCAUACUAUCGGAUGAACCGAUAUUGGAUUAGCUAGUUGGUGGGGUAAAGGCUCACCAAGGCGACGAUCCCUAGCUGGUCUGAGAGGAUGAUCAGCCACACUGGGACUGAGACACGGCCCAGACUCCUACGGGAGGCAGCAGUGGGGAAUAUUGCACAAUGGGCGCAACCCUGAUGCAGCCAUGCCGCGUGUACGAUGAAGGCCUUAGGGUUGUAAAGUACUUUCAGCAGGGAGGCGUUACCCGCAGAAGAAGCACCGGCUAACUCCGUGCCAGCAGCCGCGGUAAUAC